rnacentral:rRNA from 1 species
UACGAAGGGGGCGAGCGUUGUUCGGAAUUACUGGGCGUAAAGGGCGCGUAGGCGGCGACUCAAGUUAGAUGUGAAAGUCCUGGGCUUAACCUGGGGACUGCAUUUGAUACUGGGUUGCUUGAAUUCGGGAGAGGAUAGCGGAAUUCCCAGUGUAGAGGUGAAAUUCGUAGAUAUCGGAAGGGACACCAGUGGCGAAAGCGGCUUCCUGGUCCAGCACCGACGUUCAGGCACGAAAGCGUGGGGAGCAAACAGG